CCUACGGGAGGCUGCAGUGGGGAAUAUUGCACAAUGGGCGCAAGCCUGAUGCAGCCAUGCCGCGUGUGUGAAGAAGGCCUUCGGGUUGUAAAGCACUUUCAGCGGGGAGGAAGGCGGUGAGGUUAAUAACCUCAUCGAUUGACGUUACCCGCAGAAGAAGCACCGGCUAACUCCGUGCCAGCAGCCGCGGUAAUACGGAGGGUGCAAGCGUUAAUCGGAAUUACUGGGCGUAAAGCGCACGCAGGCGGUCUGUCAAGUCGGAUGUGAAAUCCCCGGGCUCAACCUGGGAACUGCAUUCGAAACUGGCAGGCUAGAGUCUUGUAGAGGGGGGUAGAAUUCCAGGUGUAGCGGUGAAAUGCGUAGAGAUCUGGAGGAAUACCGGUGGCGAAGGCGGCCCCCUGGACAAAGACUGACGCUCAGGUGCGAAAGCGUGGGGAGCAAACAGCAUUAGAUACCCCAGUAGUC
rnacentral:rRNA from 1 species